rnacentral:misc_RNA from 1 species
UGUGGGAGCUGGCUUGCCUGCGAUGCAGGCACCUCGGUACAUCAGGCAAACCGGGUCGAUGCCAUCGCAGGCAAGCCAGCUCCUACA